rnacentral:rRNA from 1 species
GCUUAACCGGAGAAGUGCAUCGGAAACUGGGUAACUUGAGUGCAGAAGAGGACAGUGGAACUCCAUGUGUAGCGGUGGAAUGCGUAGAUAUAUGGAAGAACACCAGUGGCGAAGGCGGCUGUCUAGUCUGUAACUGACGCUGAGGCUCGAAAGCAUGGGUAGCGAACAGGAUUAGAUACCCUGGUAGUCCAUGCCGUAAACGAUGAGUGCUAGGUGUUGGAGGGUUUCCGCCCUUCAGUGCCGCAGCUAACGCAUUAAGCACUCCGCCUGGGGAGUACGACCGCAAGGUUGAAACUCAAAGGAAUUGACGGGGGCCCGCACAAGCGGUGGAGCAUGUGGUUUAAUUCGAAGCUACGCGAAGAACCUUACCAGGUCUUGACAUCUUCUGUCAAUCUUAGAGAUAAGACGUUCCCUUCGGGGACAGAAUGACAGGUGGUGCAUGGUUGUCGUCAGCUCGUGUCGUGAGAUGUUGGGUUAAGUCCCGCAACGAGCGCAACCCUUAUUAUCAGUUGCCAGCAUUCAGUUGGGCGCUCUGGUGAGACUGCCGGUGACAAACCGGAGGAAGGUGGGGAUGACGUCAAAUCAUCAUGCCCCUUAUGACCUGGGCUACACACGUGCUACAAUGGACGGUACAACG